rnacentral:rRNA from 1 species
CCCUUAGAUGUCCGGGGCUGCACGCGCGCUACACUGAAGGAAUCAGCGUGCUAAAACCAUUGUCGGAAGGCAUUGGUAAACCCAUUAAAAUCCUACGUGAUUGGGAUCGGGAAUUGCAAUUAUUUCCCUUGAACGAGGAAUUCCCAGUAAGUGUGGGUCAUAAGCUCGCGUUGAUUACGUCCCUGCCCUUUGUACACACCGCCCGUCGCUGCCCGGGACUGAGCCGUUUCGAGAAAAGCGGGGACUGCUGCUGUCGGGGCUUUCGGGCCUUGGCUUCGGUGGAAACCGCUUUAAUCGCAGUGGCUUGAACCGGGCAAAANUCGUAACA